UCCAGUGGCUCAUAAUGUGAUUGUAAGCAAUCAUACUGUUUUCUUAAAAAUAGUGGGAGGAUGAACUCAAAGAGAAAUCUCUAAAGAAUAACGAGUCACAACACCUAUACAACCUAUUUAAGAUGAGCAUGUAUAUGCAGCACUUUCUCUACCUCGUAGAUCUAGUAGGAUCCCCCAUCUUUUACAAAGGAUUCAGAGAAAGUGUUUCUCAAGGG
rnacentral:lncRNA from 1 species